UAAGCAUGAUUUUAGUGGCGGACUGGUGAGUAACACGUAAGCAACCUGCCUAUUAGAGGGGAAUAACAGUGAGAAAUCACUGCUAAUACCGCAUAAGCUGACAAUAUCGCAUGAUAUAGUCAGAAAAGGAGAAAUCCGCUAAUAGAUGGGCUUGCGUCCGAUUAGCUAGUUGGUGGGGUAAAGGCCUACCAAGGCAACGAUCGGUAGCCGAGCUGAGAGGCUCAACGGCCACAUUGGGACUGAGAUACGGCCCAGACUCCUACGGGAGGCAGCAGUCGGGAAUAUUGCACAAUGGAGGAAACUCUGAUGCAGUGACACCGCGUAUAGGAAGAAGGUUUUCGGAUUGUAAACUAUUUUAGACAGGGAAGAAAAAAGACAGUACCUGUAGAAUAAGCUCCGGCUAACUACGUGCCAGCAGCCGCGGUAAUACGUAGGGAGCAAGCGUUAUCCGGAAUUAUUGGGUGUAAAGGGUGCGUAGACGGGACAGCAAGUUAGUUGUGAAAGCCCUCGGCUUAACUGAGGAACUGCAACUAAAACUAUUGUUCUUGAGUGCAGGAGAGGAAAGCGGAAUUCCUAGUGUAGCGGUGAAAUGCGUAGAUAUUAGGAGGAACACCAGUGGCGAAGGCGGCUUUCUGGACUGUAACUGACGUUGAGGCACGAAAGUGUGGGGAGCAAACAGGAUUAGAUACCCUGGUAGUCCACACUGUAAACGAUGGAUACUAAGUGUAGGAAAUGAUUUCAUUAUCUGUGCCGAAAGCAAACGCAAUAAGUAUCCCAC
rnacentral:rRNA from 1 species